UACGUAGGGUGCGAGCGUUGUCCGGAAUUAUUGGGCGUAAAGAGCUUGUAGGCGGUCUGUCGCGUCUGCUGUGAAAAUCCGGGGCUCAACCCCGGACUUGCAGUGGGUACGGGCAGACUAGAGUGUGGUAGGGGAGACUGGAAUUCCUGGUGUAGCGGUGAAAUGCGCAGAUAUCGGGAGGAACACCGAUGGCGAAGGCAGGUCUCUGGGCCACUACUGACGCUGAGGCGCGAAAGCGUGGGGAGCGAACAGG
rnacentral:rRNA from 1 species